rfam:Ovis aries breed Texel chromosome 5, whole genome shotgun sequence.
UCCUGGGUAGCUCAGCUGGUAAAGAAUCUGCCUGCCAUGUAGGAGACCCUGGUCCAAUUCCUGGGUCAGGAA